UAACAAUCAAGAUGUAACUCUAAGUCCUUUCAAUUUUUUCUAUUUCUGUAGAAAAUAAUUUAUAGAAAAUAAUUUUUAUUUUAGUGUUCCCCUGGAGUGUUUGCCUUGGUAGAGUGGUAUUGCUGGGAGUGAGGAAGAUUGUGGGAAGUUCCUAGCACGCAGUGUUUAUAAGGAAGAACAAAUGAACUGAAAAAAGAGGUGGAAGGGGCGCCUGGGUGGCUUAGUAGGUUAAGUGGCUGACUCUUGGUUUCGGCUCAGGUUAUCAUCUCGAGUUCAUGAGAUCAAGCCUUAUGUUGGCUCCCCACUCAGCAGGAAGCCCUCUUCUCUCCCUCUGCCCUUCCCCUUGCCCACAUGCUUGCUGUCUCUUUCUCUCUAAAAUAAAAUAAAAUAAAUUGAAAAAAAAAAAGAGGUGGGAGACAGGGAAAAGGAGGCAGGAACACCUGAAGUCUUUAAGGAUUAGCAGACGGUGAACCCGUCAAGGACAGGAAAUAUAUCUGGUUCACCAUUGUACUCAGGUUAGAGAGCAGUGCCCGGAACACAGUAGGUGCACAACAAAUGUUUAUUGAACAGAUGAAGGAAUGUAUGUUCUAAAAUGAGUGGGUGGUGUCUGUUCUGAAAGGAGAGGUAGGGGAACUUUCUAAACUACAUUCAUAUGCUUAACUAAGUUUCCCUAAGCAUGGUCCUGCUGAAGAUUAUAGAAUCAUGGUAUUGAUGUGGGAGGCUGUGGAGUUUCCUUCUAAAGAUCUUUAAAAAGAAGAUAGGUUCUUAUCUGUCUGGAAGGAUCUUAUGAAAAACAGAAGAUUGAUCUGAGUAAUUAGAAUAGCCUCUGGCCCUUUUCUUCCUUGAGCUUGUUUUUGCUUUUUAAUUUCAGGAAAUGCAAUGCAAAAGCAUGUACCAUCACCAUCACACCAACAACAAUAACUAUUUGUUGAGAGUUUAUGCCAGGAACACCAGGCCUAAAGAAGCCAUCUGUCCUGAAUGUAAGGCCCAACAAGUGUCUUGAACAACACAUGAAAAACACUUGGGACAGAGUACCGACCUGACCCACAGAACUGUGAGUAAAAAUAAAUGCUUAUUGUUCUAUGCUACUGAUAUCGCUGAGUUUGUUAUAUGACCUUGUUGUGGCAGUAGUUGACUGGUACUAUUAUGUAAACAAAUGAUCUAUAUACACUUGUAU
rnacentral:lncRNA from 1 species